rnacentral:rRNA from 1 species
CUCUGUGACUCCUACGGGAGGCAGCAGUGGGGAAUAUUGCACAAUGGGCGCAAGCCUGAUGCAGCCAUGCCGCGUGUAUGAAGAAGGCCUUCGGGUUGUAAAGUACUUUCAGCAGUGAGGAAGGUGGGUAUGUUAAUAGCAUAUUCAUUUGACGUUAGCUGCAGAAGAAGCACCGGCUAACUCCGUGCCAGCAGCCGCGGUAAUACGGAGGGUGCGAGCGUUAAUCGGAAUUACUGGGCGUAAAGCGCAUGCAGGUGGUUUGUUAAGUCAGAUGUGAAAGCCCGGGGCUCAACCUCGGAAUUGCAUUUGAAACUGGCAAACUAGAGUACUGUAGAGGGGGUAGAAUUUCAGGUGUAGCGGUGAAAUGCGUAGAGAUCUGAAGGAAUACCGGUGGCGAAGGCGGCCCCCUGGACAGAUACUGACACUCAGAUGCGAAAGCGUGGGGAGCAAACAGGAUUAGAUACCCUGGUAG